UACGAAGGGGGCUAGCGUUGUUCGGAAUUACUGGGCGUAAAGCGCACGUAGGCGGAUUGUUAAGUUAGGGGUGAAAUCCCAGGGCUCAACCCUGGAACUGCCUUUAAUACUGGCAAUCUCGAGUCCGAGAGAGGUGAGUGGAAUUCCCGGUGUAGAGGUGAAAUUCGUAGAUAUCGGGAGGAACACCAGUGGCGAAGGCGGCGACCUGGGCAGAUACUGACGCUGAGGUGCGAAAGCGUGGGGAGCAAACAGG
rnacentral:rRNA from 1 species